UACGGAGGAUCCGAGCGUUAUCCGGAUUUAUUGGGUUUAAAGGGUGCGUAGGUGGAUUGGUAAGUCAGUGGUGAAAGUUUGCAGCUUAACUGUAAAAUUGCCGUUGAAACUGCCGGUCUUGAGUGCAAAUGAGGUAGGCGGAAUGCGUCGUGUAGCGGUGAAAUGCUUAGAUAUGACGCAGAACUCCGAUUGCGAAGGCAGCUUACUGGGAUGCAACUGACGCUGAGGCACGAAAGCGUGGGGAGCAAACAGGAUUAGAUA
rnacentral:rRNA from 1 species